CACAAUUUGCUUUAACAGUACACUUGUUUGAUUCGUGAUCAGUUCAAAACUGGAAGCACAAAGUCUGACAAACCUCUGCGAGAUAAUUCAUCUAAACGUGGAUUAUGCCACAAGAUAAUUAUGGUUAAUGAUGAUGAUGAUGAUGAUGAUGAUGAUGAUGACGACGACGAUGACCACGAUGAUGUAUAGAGGGAAUUAUGGCGAUGAGGCAGUUUUUCCUUUUUUUUUUGUGUCACUGGAGAACUUGGUAAAUAAUGGAUAAACUUAUUACUCAGUCAACGCUUCUGUCCAUAACCCCGUCUUUCCCCAUUAUCUUGCUUUGCGGUCAUUUAAUUUUCAGCUGAAUUUUGUCAAACAUUUUAUUUCUGACUUGUGAUUUUUACUUUUUUUUUAAAAUUCUUUUUUUUUCAAAUGUAUUUUGCUGUAGAUGUAACAAAGGAUAACUACAAAAUAAAACAAACUCGUCUUGCUUACAAAGAUGAAAUAUAAAAAUAAUGAA